CUUGAGCGAACCGAUCCACAACGGCCGGUUCUCGUCCCGGUCCUGGCCGUAGGCGGCGAUCAGGGCCUGGGCCUC
rnacentral:antisense_RNA from 1 species